GAAGCAGGACCACAGGGAGGGAUGGAAGGGUGAGCUGCCUGUUCCUGCACAUCCACCGUGGAGCCAUGUGCCUGUUCCUCCAUAGCAAACCAUUGGGAUCUGAGGCAUGGCAACCCUCUGGUGUUGAUACCAGACUGGUAAAGGUCUGGUGUCCCCCAGUCAUUUUUCAGGCUGGGAAAUUGUGUGUGGUUCCUGGCACAGGUUAAACAUACACUCACCAGAGAGCUGUUCGUUGACCCUGCAGCUGCUUGAUGAGGCACUCAAAGGUUGGGUUUAUAUUCAUGCGCAAUACCUGCCCAUCACAGCAGCUUCUGAGCCUCAAAAGCUCUGAGUUACUCCAGGGUAGUUUUCUGAGGCUGUUGUAUGCUGUCUCCCAGUGCCCAGGAGAUGGCACUCCUGCAUUUGGUCAGUGUGCAGCUGUUCUCCAGAUGCACCAGAGGUUGCCUGAAGAGGAAAAUCCCAUCAUGGGCUGCCUGUUUGGCUCUGCUGGGGAGGAAAGUGGCUACAUUUGCAGGGGAGUAUUUUUUAUUUCAUUAAGAAAAGUUUUCCCAGUGCGCCAGAGACAUCCUUCCCCUAAUACUGCUGAACUUAGAAUUCACCCUUCUGCUUCCGGAAUUUGUGACAUGACUUUGCUGGCAUUUCGAAAGGGAAAAGACAAAGUGUGACAGAAAAAAGAAUAACAGAGGUCUGGUAUGCCUUAUACCCCCACCUCCCAGGCCUAUGGGGUUGCUGCCUAUAGCAGGUGUGUAUGAUUUUCUUGGUGGUGAGUACAAGGGGCUAACAGUCUUGCCCUCUAUUUCCUUGUUACUUCCUUUUUGUUAUUUUCCAGGCAAAUUGUCUUUUACACUCCUUAACUGUAGAUUUUCACUGUUUUUCAAGUAUCACCCAGUCAACAGGCACUAGUAAUUCCCAUCCACAAAGAAAAGUUAUUAUUUCAGUUGUUCUUGGUUCUAUUUGGAUAGGGAAAAAACUUCUUGCCCGACAGUUCAUACAGCGAGAGCGUUGAUUUUGUGAAUUACAAUACCAAUUUUUUUAACAAUUUAAACAUUUAACUUCGGUAGCUCGUCUAGUAUUGGAAUGAAUCAGACAAAGUAUUUGGUAUAGCUGUGGUGGAGGUUGUAAUUCUUCUUUUUCGUAUAAGUCACAGGCUAAAGCUAGAAUAUGACUGAAACAGUCCUGAUCCUCCUGUUUGAAGUGGAAGUAUCCCUCCUCAAGGGGAGUACCGGAGGCAUCUCAGAACUUGUCCAGGUGGUACUUGAAACUACUUAUAUAAGCUUGGCCUUAUUUCCCAGAUAGGUGUGAUUCUUUGUAUGUUUUUUUGAUCAUUUGGGUUUUCCCAUUUUAUUACUACCCAGUCCCUGCUUAAGAGUCAGUUUGGUAUCACCAGGUUCAGAUGUUAUAGUCGACUCCUUAGGUUCUUCCACAGGUCCUUUGAUUCUGCUGGCGUGGAUCCACUCUUGUUUCCUGCUCUGGAUUGUUGCCUCAGUCGUUAGCAGUACCUGAAAAGGACCUUCCUGUUGUGGAGUUAAAGAUUAUUCUUUCCAUGUUUUCACUAAUACCCAUCCCCCUUGAAUGGAUACUAUGGAUUUUAAAUUUUAAAGGUGUGGUUUGAGGGAUUAUCCUUUUCAACUGUGAAUUUUCAAGUGUUUUUGCUGUUGUGGUGACAUAUUUCUUAACACUCAUUUCCCCUACUUUAUAAGUAGCAGUUUCACAUUGGGUGGUUAAAAAGAGUAAUCUAAACAUUAUCUUGUAGGAUGACACUCCUAGUUUUAACCUGGGUUAUGUUUGGACCCUUAACAGAGCCAAAGUAAACACUUUACUUACGACAUUUGGGUUUCUAUUACUAUUACUUAUUAUUAAUUUUGUUACAGUUUUCUUUAAAGUCUGGUUUACUCUUUUUACUUGGCCCAAACUUUGAGGAUGCAAUGGGGUGUGUAAUUCUUAUUUUAUUCCCAAGGCUUGAGUUACUUUCUGUAUUAAUCAUUCUGUAUCUGGGAAUAAUUUGUUCCAAAUAGGCUUUACAUACUACAUUAGCUGUAGCUCUGACAGUGGGAACAGCUUUUACUUAAUGAGUUAAAUGGUCUAUUAUUACUAAUAAAAACCACCUUUACCUUU